AACUCGACUGCACGAAGCUGGAAUCGCUAGUAAUCGCGGAUCAGCACGCCGCGGUGAAUACGUUCCCGGGCCUUGUACACACCGCCCGUCACACCAUGGAAGUCUGCAAUGCCCGAAGCCGGUGGCCUAACCACUUAUGUGGAAGGAGCCGUCUAAGGCAGGGCAGAUGACUGGGUGAAGUCGUAACAAGGUAAC
rnacentral:rRNA from 1 species